UUUGACUUUCCUGUUACUUAAUAAAUGUCAUUCCAACUAUUGAGCAGCAAACCAUGUCAAUUGGCUUAAAUGUUUUACACCUUGAAGGUUAGUUUACUUAUUAUAGCUUGCGGCUCUAGUUAAUUCAACCUUUUUCUCUGGAGAAUGAAGAUUUAAUUUGCAAAUUCUGACCAUUUUACUUGGUAAAAUGUGAGUGUCAGGUGGUUUUACUUGGUAUCGGUAGUUGAAACUGAGUCUCGUAAAUUUAGUUAUGCUGAGCUCUAUUUAGUAGGAAAUAGUUCGUAAUGCAAACGCAUUCCACUUGGAUGAAAUUAAAUGUGGCAAUUUGAGAGGGCAUUACGAAGAAACUAGUUUGAAAGAUUUGGUUCAAAUUAUAUUGCUUCUUUUGAGGUACUUCAAAAAUUCUUUGAACUAGCUUACUGCCAAACUGUAUACAAGGCCGCUUCUUCAUUGCGGGUUCAAGACCUAAGUACAACAAGGCUGUAAGUUAUGUGAGUUUGUUGUUCAAAUGUCUUUUGUAAUUGCUUCUUUUUCUGAUCUGAAGCAUAAUUAGAAAAGAUGUCAGGGUAAUGAAGGUAUUAUUCAACAUUUAAAUACUUUAGGUAAACUUGGUCUCCAGGGCAGCAACAGUUGCAUCCUUGCAGCUGCACUGUCUCGUCUAUAGUAGUUCUAGAAUUUGCAAUUGUUGUGAAAUCCAGCAAGUUAUGUUCUAGUGUCCAAAUAAUCUGCUGUGUCAAGAGGAUCAUGUUGUGUUGCACCAGUGGUCGCAGCAAGAGGAUGAUUGUGUGUGUGCAAGGGGCUCAUUGUUUUGGUCCAAUGUAGAGAUUACGACCCCUAAAAUGGUCGUGAUUUCUGUUUGCCUCUCCGUUCUCUUCGAAAGCAGGUUGUUUGGCUGACUAUCUUUUGCUUCAACACCCGUCAUCAUUCAGCUUGGUAUAAUGGAAUGAUUCGUGGUUAUUAUUAAGAACCUUAGACAUAAACAUGCUUUUUUCAACGACCAGUACAAGUGUUUCUCCCAGUCUGAUGGCAGUUAAACUCCAGAACAUCCUUUAGGAUUUCAAAUUGGGUCUUUGCAGUGCUGCACUUGUAUUUUAAUUACAUUUGAAGCGCUGUUUGGUUUCAAGUGCGCAUGUAGUUUUACUUUUGCAAUCAGAAAAUGGAUCCUCUUGGUUGUU